rnacentral:rRNA from 1 species
GACGAACGCUGGCGGCGUGCCUAAUACAUGCAAGUAGAACGCUGAAGGAGGAGCUUGCUUCUCCGGAUGAGUUGCGAACGGGUGAGUAACGCGUAGGUAACCUGCCUGGUAGCGGGGGAUAACUAUUGGAAACGAUAGCUAAUACCGCAUAAUAGUAGAUGUUGCAUGACAUUUGCUUAAAAGGUGCAAUUGCAUCACUACCAGAUGGACCUGCGUUGUAUUAGCUAGUUGGUGGGGUAACGGCUCACCAAGGCGACGAUACAUAGCCGACCUGAGAGGGUGAUCGGCCACACUGGGACUGAGACACGGCCCAGACUCCUACGGGAGGCAGCAGUAGGGAAUCUUCGGCAAUGGACGGAAGUCUGACCGAGCAACGCCGCGUGAGUGAAGAAGGUUUUCGGAUCGUAAAGCUCUGUUGUAAGAGAAGAACGAGUGUGAGAGUGGAAAGUUCACACUGUGACGGUAUCUUACCAGAAAGGGACGGCUAACUACGUGCCAGCAGCCGCGGUAAUACGUAGGUCCCGAGCGUUGUCCGGAUUUAUUGGGCGUAAAGCGAGCGCAGGCGGUUAGAUAAGUCUGAAGUUAAAGGCUGUGGCUUAACCAUAGUACGCUUUGGAAACUGUUUAACUUGAGUGCAAGAGGGGAGAGUGGAAUUCCAUGUGUAGCGGUGAAAUGCGUAGAUAUAUGGAGGAACACCGGUGGCGAAAGCGGCUCUCUGGCUUGUAACUGACGCCGAGGCUCGAAAGCGUGGGGAGCAAACAGG